CUCAAGGAUUGGUAGUACAAGUGACGAGCCGCUAAGACUUAAAAUAACAAAGGUGGUGUUAAAUAAUACAACAUCUAUUUGGAAUAUACAUAAACAGAAUUUAUAAUUUAAAACUACCAAGGACAAGUGGUAGCUAUAUCUGGAAGGUAGUUACAUCUUCAAUGUCAGCUCCCGCCAUACGUAGUAGCAUCAGCUCCUAAUUUUGUACACAAGGUGCAGAAGUGUAGUAUGAAUACAACCGACCUCAUGUACUGAAUACGUAUCAUAACUAACCUCAGUGAGGUAAUAGAAGAAAGAAUUAUAAAUGAUACUUGCUAUCACCUGUAUAAUUCAUAAAUUCCAACAAGUACAAGACAAAAAUAUGAUCAAAUCAUGAAAUCAAAGAUAAAACCAUCUUGGUGCUCACAUGUUUUUUCAAUGUAUUCAUUUCAGAUAUACAUCCAAGGAAAUUGCAAGUAAAUAAUAAAUGCAAUAACCAACUAUCAACCUGUUGCGACGCACAACUCGAUCUUGUAACGACCCGAACGGUCGUUUUGAGAAUUAACGCCUCGAUACCUUAUUAACUGCUUUCUCCUUGUUUAUUUCUACUAUUUUGAUUUGCCGGGAUGAUUCGUUUUGAGUUUCGGAGAGUUUUGGGACACUUAGUCCCUAAAUGAGAGUUUAAGUCUUAGAAAUUGGACCGUAGUCGGAGCAGUGUGAAGACGGGUCCGGAAUGAAAUUCCAUCGAUUCCGUAAGCUCUGUUGGGUGAUUUUGGGCUUCGGGGGCGUGUCUAGAUUGUGUUUUGGAGGUCCGUAGCUUAUUUAGGCUUGAAAUGCCGAAAGUUGAAUUUUUGAAAUUUUCGGGCCGAUAGUGAAAUUUUGAUAUCAGGGUCAGUAUCCGAUUCCUGAAGUUGGAAUAGGUCCGUAAUAUUGAAUAUGACUUGUGUGCAAAAUUUGGAGUCAAUCGGACGUGAUUUGCUUAGUUUCGGCAUCACUUGUAGGAUUUUGAAAUUUCAAGUUCAUUAAGUUUGGAUUAGAGGGUAAUUCAUGAUUUUAGCGUUGUUUGGUAUGAUUUGAGGGCUCAACUAAAUUCGUAUGAUAUUUUAGGAUUGGUUGGUAUGUUUGGUUGAAGUUCCGGGGGCUUCGGGUGUGUUUCGGAUGCUCAACGAGUCAUUUUUGGACAUAGAAGGAUAGCAGAUUUGUUGGUUUUUCUGUUGAAGACAAUUGUUCUUCGCAUUCGCGAAGGGGAGAUCGCGUUAGCGAAGGCUAUCCAGUGGAAGCAUCGCGAACGCGAGGAGCUGAGCGCAUUCAAAAAGAGAAAAAGGCGGAGCAGCUGGGACCUCAGAAAGUUGCUCUACGCGUUCGCGAGUAAGGGGCCGCGUUCGCGAAGGUCCUGACAGCUGAAGCUACAUGUUUGCAAGAGGACCCUUGCGUUUGCGAAAGAGGAAUUUGGGCCAGUGGGAUUUUGUUCAUCGCGUUCGCAAUGGUAGUCUUGCGUUCGCGAAGAAGAACGCAUCUGGGUAGAGUAUAAAAUCCAAAAUCGAGGGUUUGAGUUCAUAAUUUCAAAAAUUGAUUGAGUGCUCGGUAGAAGGUGAAAUUUGGAGAGAAUUUCGGAGGAAUUUUGGGGGUAAUGAUUCCUAACUCCUUUUUGAUUAUAUCCCAUUAAUCUAAACAUGAAUUCAUCAUCUAAUUUCGGAUUUGGGGUGAAAAAUUGGGGAAAAUUGAGAAAAGUUGUUAGGCCUAAUUUUGGUAUUUUGAUCGAGAUUUUGGUAUCGGAUUCGAGUGAAUUUGGUAUGGUUAGACUCGUGAGUGAAUGGGUAAUCAUAAUUUGUGACUUUUACCCGAUUCUGAGACGUGGUCCCGGGGAGGAGUUUUGGGCGUUUUUCUAUUUUCUUGCCUUAGCUUCGAUUUCAUUAGCUAAACUAGUUGUUAGUAGUUAUAUUUACGUUAUGAUAUUAAUUUGAUUAGAUUUGGGCCACUCUAAGUUGGAUACUCGUGGCAAGAGCGUGAUUUCAGAUUGAUUUGAGCUUGGUUUGAGGUAAGUGGCUUGCCUAACCUUGUAUGGGGGAACUCCCCUUAAGAUUUUGGUUAUGUUGUUAUAUGAAUGCUGUGUACGUGAGGUGACGAGUGCGUACACAUGCUAAUUAUUGAGAAAAACCCCAUUUUCAUUAAGCAAAUAUCUGUGUUUUCACUUUAAUUGAGAAUACUAGUUCAUGUAGUCUCUUGCUUAGCUUUGGAAAGCAUAUCUACAUGCCUUAACUGUCUUAUCUGUUUAAACUAUUUUACUUCGACAACGUGCAACAUAUUUAGGGUAGGAAUUACCUGUUUCUUUGAUGCUAACUUGAUUAGAACUGUAUACUUCUUGGCUGAGACUGUUGUGCAUAUUGAUAUUGCGUAUUUACUUUGGGACUAUGGAACGGUAUUCCGGGAGAUCCCCCUUGCCUAUUUACCUUGGGACUACGUAUCGGUAUUUCGGGAGAUCCCCCCUGAACAUUUAUAUUUGGUACUACGGGACAUUAUCCUAGGAGAUCCCCCUGUACAUUUACGACUUGGACUACUAGACAGUAUCCUAGGAGAUCCUCUAUUCAUUUACAUUUGGGACUACGAGAUGUUAUCUUGGGAGAUCCCCUGUUGCUACAUCUGUGUGUUGAGUUAUUUAUUCUUGCGAUUUCAUAUUUAUUGAAUGUUAAUAUCUUUAAUUAUACUAUCUCAUUUCACAUUAUUUUUCCUUGAUAUAUAUAUAACCAGUAGGUCCCUGACCUGAUCUCGUCACUAGUCGAUCGAGGUUAGGGUUGGCAUUUACUGGGUACUGCUGUGGUGUACUCAUGCCCUUUCAUGAACAUAUUUUUUGUGUGAUGAUCCAGGUUUUUAUGCUCAUCCAUACUAUCCGUGAGACGGGACGAUUCAGAGACUUCAAGUUAUAUCUGCCGCGUCUGCAGACCUAGAAGUCCCUCUCUAUUCUCCCAUCAGUUAUAGGCUUUUCCCUGUAUUUCCUUGUUAUUAGACUUUUGGAGUUAGAAACCUUAUGUAUUCUUCUUUAGCUUGUGAUUCAUGAGAUUUCGGGUUUUGGAAGUGUUAUUAUUGGUCAAGAGUAUUAUUAUUGUAUAUGUCGAGCGGCAUUUUAAACACUUUAUCUAUAUUUACCUGUUAGAUGACUAGUUUGUACUUUUAACUUCCUUUUCCACAAUUUGUUAGGCGUACUUAGUCGUAGAGACUAGAUGCCGCCACGACAAUUCAUAUAGAGAGAACUUGGGUCGUGACAAGUUGGUAUUAGAGCUCUAGGUUCAUAAGAGUCAUGAAUCAUAAGCCGGUUUAUUAGAGCCAUGCGGAUCGGUACAGAGACGUCUGAACUUAUCUUCGAGAGGCUAUGUAACUGUUAGGAAAAUUUCACUUUAUUUGAUUCCUUUCAUGCGAGAUUAUUAAUUUCGAAAUUCUAAACCUUUGUCUUCUAUUCUCUCAUAGAUGAUGAGGACACAUGCUACCGGAGAUGAUCAGACACCCGCACCCCCUACUAGAGCUACCAGAUGUUGGGGCCAGGGUAGAGGCCAAGGACGCGUACGUGGUGCAGCCAGAGCACCCGCGCGAGUUGCUACAGAGGAGCCACCAGCAGCUCCAGCCAGAGCUUAGGCGCCUGAUACGCCUACUGCUACUACCACUCCAGCUCUCCAGGAGACCCUUGCACAGUUCAUGAGCAUGUACACCACUCUAGCUCAGGCAGAGUUAAUUCCCCUUGCUGCAGCCACAUCUCAGGUCGGGAAGGAGCAUAGACUCCCGCCGCCUUCACCCUAGAGCAACGGGUUCAGGUUGAUCAGAUCCUAGUGGUUAUACCGGUAUCGCCUGUAGCCCCAGUUCAACCCAAGGAUAAGGCAUCAACUUUAGAGGAUGAGCAGCGAAGGUUUUAGAGGUUCAAGAAGUACAAGCCUCCUACAUUAAGUGGUCUAGCAUCAGAUGAUGCCCAUGGAUUUCUGGAGGAGUGCCAUUGUAUCCUCCGCACUAUGGGUAUAUCGAGAUCGAGUGGGGUUUCUUUCACUGCCUUCCAGCUUUGAGGCAUAGCCUAUUAGUGGUGGCGUACUUUUGAGUUGGACAGUCCAGCUGAGGCAACUUCCCUUUCAUGUACCCAAUUUUCAGAUAUGUUUUUGAGGGAGUAGGUUCCUUAGAGCCUCAGGGAUGAAUGGCGUGCCAAGUUUGAGCAUUUACGCCAGGGAACUAUGACUGUUUCAGAGUACGCUGUCCAUUUCACUGACUUGGAUAGACAUGCACCAGCCUUGGUUUCUACAGUUCGUGAGAGAGUUCGCCGGUUUAUUGAGGAGCUCAUUCCCAGCAUCAGGUCUAGCAUGGCCCGGGAGUUGGAGAUGGAUAUUGCUUAUCAACAGGUGAUUAGCAUUGCUAGGAGAGUGGAGGGCAUUCUUGCUCGGGAUAUAGAGGAGAGAGAGGCCAAGAGGUCUCGAGAGUCAGGCCAUUAUUCUGGUGCCCAUGCUCCUGCUGCAAUUUGUCAUGGUAGGAGUUAUAUGAGUCACCCCGUUCAGUCAGCUCUUCCAGCAUCCAGUGGUAUUCUAGCUCCUCCUAGACCUCAAGAGCCUUAUUAUGCACCUCUAGUAUCUAGCAUGCCUCCUACAGGGGGUGCUUUCAGUGGUAAGUCCAGCAGACCUGGACUAAGCCAGUCACAACCGCCACAUCCUCCUAGAGCUUGUUUUAAGUGUGGAAAAACACGCCAUGUGGUGAGGGAUUGCCCUAGACUUAGGAGGGGUGCACCUCUAGAGACUUCUCAGCCACAACGUGCUCUGUAGAGUUCCCAAGCUAUGAUCACAACACCAAUUGCUACCCCACCUGCUCAGCCAGCUAGAGGUGGAGGUCGUGGAGGUAGAGGUCGCCCUAGAGGGGAAGGCCAAGCCAGAUACUAUGCCCUUCCUACCCGUACGGAGGCUGUCACCUCUGAUUCUGUCAUCACAGGUAUUGUUCUGAUCUGUCAUAGAGAUGCAUCGGUUUUAUUCGAUCUAGGCUCCACUUAUUCUUAUGUGUCCUCUUAUUUUGUCCUGCAUUUGGGAGUAUCUCGUGAUUCUUUGAGUUCCCCUAUUUAUAUUUCUACUCUUGUGGUAGAUUCCCUUGUUGUGGACUGUGUUUAUCGGUCGUGUUUGAUUGCUCUUAGUGGUUUUGAGACCAGAGCCGAUUUAUUGUUGCUCAGCAUGGUAGAUUUCGAUGUUAUCUUGGGAAUGGAUUGGUUAUCGCCCCAUUAUGCUAUUCUUGAUUGUCAUGCCAAGAUUGUGACUCUAGCUAUGCCAGGUGUACCACGAGUAGAGUGGAGGGGUACUUUAGAUCACACUCCCAGUAGAGUUAUAUCACUUCUUAAGGCUCAUCGAAUGGUUGAGAAAGGGUGUGACGCGUAUCUAGUCUAUGUGAGAGAUGUAAGUAGUUAUACCCCUAUAGUUGAUUCAAUCCCAGUAGUGAGGGAUUUUUCCGAUGUGUUUCCAACUGAUCUUUCAUGUAUGCCACCCGAUAGAGAUAUUAAUUUCGGCAUUGAUUUGUUGCCGGGCACUCAGCCCAUUUCUAUUCCUCCUUAUCAUAUGGCUCCUCCUGAGUUGAAGGAGAAGUUGCAAGAAUUACUUGAUAAGGGCUUUAUUCGGCUCAAUAUGUCACCUUGGGGAGCUCCUGUCUUGUUUGUGAAGAAAAAGGAUGGUUCUAUGCGUAUGUGCAUUGAUUAUCGCCAGUUGAACAAAGUUAUAGUGAAGAACCGGUAUCCUUUGCCUUGUAUUGAUGAUCUGUUUGACCAGUUAUAGGGUGCUCGAGUGUUUUCUAAGAUUGACUUGCAUUUAGGUUAUCAUCAGUUGAAGAUUCGGGAGCCAGAUAUCCCGAAAACUGCGUUCAGGACUCGGUAUGGUCAUUAUGAGUAGGGGUGUAUAUAGGUCGGAUUGGUUCGGAUUUUACAAUUACCAUACCAAGUCAAUUGUGUCGGAUUAUUAAAUCUAAAGACCAAACCAAACCAAUAAAACUCGGGUUUUUCACUCUCGGUUUUUCUCAGGUUAUUCGGAUUUUUUUCCGGUAAAAUCUUUGUAGAACAAAAUAUAUAAAUUAUACUCAAAAUAUUUCUUUAGUCCUAGUAAGAUACAACUAUAUAAAGUAUUUUCCAAGAAAAUAAUACGAAAUAUGAGAUAUGUCAUGACAUUAUCCUAAAAUAUUCAACAUUAAAGACAAUAAAAUUAUGUAAUAUAAAUAUUGCUAAUUAAAGCCAUAAUAAAAAUAAACAUAAUCUAAGAAUACUAAGUCAUGCUAAAAUAAGUAGACUAAUAAGGGAUUAUUAAAUACAUGACUAAACGCUAAAGAAAAAAUAAAAAUAUGUUAUGCAUUUUUAUCUAAAUUAUUGCAAAACAAAAAAUAGAUAUUCAAUACAUUCCCGUUCAUAGUAUUGAAUUAAAUGUCUUUUGUUAGAAUUAGUAUUGAUUUGAUUUUGGUUUGGGCUUUCGUUAGCACUAUUUAAUUUACUAAUGUUAAUGGCUAUAAAACUUAUUGGAACAUUCAAAAGUUCUAAGUCCAACCUUAAAAUAAUAUCUCAAAAACUAAAAUUAUAAAAUCUUUUAAGAAAGAUUUAUAAAUUACAUCACAAUAAGUAUAUUUAUAUAUUAAAUAUAUCUAAAAUUUAUAUAUUUGUAAUGUCGGGUUGGUUUGGUUUCGGUUUGACUUUAUUUAGUUAAAACCAAACCAAACCAAUUAUGGUCGGGUUUUUUUCCAACACCAAACCAAAUCAAACCAACACAUAGUCGGGUUUUUUUUCUCGGUUUGACUCGGAUUAUCGUGUUGGUGCGGUUUGUCGGUUUCCUUUGUACAACCCUAAUUACGAGUUCCUUGUUAUGUCAUUUGGGUUGACCAAUGACCCGACAACAUUUAUGUAUUUGAUGCACAGUAUAUUCCGACCAUAUCUUUACUCAUUCAUUAUUGUCUUUAUUGAUGACAUUCUGGUAUACUCCCGGAGUCGGGAAGAUCAUGAGCAACACCUGGGGAUAGUGCUUCAGACUUUUAGAGAAAAGAAAUUAUGUGCAAAGUUCUCGAAAUGUGAGUUCUGGUUGGAUUCCGUGACAUUCUUGGGUCACGUGGUAUCAAGUGAAGGGAUCAAGGUGGAUCCAAAGAAAGUGGAAGCAGUGCAACGUUGGCCCAGACCAUCCUCAGCUACAAAUAUCCGUAGUUUUCUUGGCCUGGCGAAUUAUUACCGUCGAUUUGUUGAGGGAUUUUCAUCUAUUGCAGCGCCUAUGACCAGGCUGACCCAGCAGGGUGCUCCAUUCAGAUGGACGGAAGAGUGUGAGGAGAGCUUUCAGAAGCUCAAGACAGCUUUGACUACAACCCUAGUAUUAAUAUUGCCUACAGGUUCGGGGUCUUAUACUGUAUAUUGUGAUGGCUCGAGGAUUGGUCUUCUAGCGGUAUUGAUGUAGGAUAGUAGGGUGAUUGCCUACGCGUCUAGAUAGUUGAAGGUGCAUGAGAAGAAUUAUCCUGUGCAUGAUCUCGAGUUAGUUGCUAUCGUUACGCCUUGAAGAUCUGGCGUCAUUAUUUGUACGGUGUUCCUUGUGAGAUUUAUACUGAUCACUAGAGUUUGCAGCAUCUGUUCAAGCAGAAGGACCUUAAUUUGCGUUAGAGGAGGCGGUUAGAGUUGCUGAAGGACUAUAAUAUCAUUAUCUUGUACCACCCGGGGAAGGCCAAUGUGGUGGCCGACUCUUUGAGUCGUCGGGCAAAGAGUUUGGGGAGUUUAACUUAUCUACUAGCAGCAGAGAGGCUUAUAGCGAUGGAUUUUUAGGCCUUAGCAAGUUAGUUUGUGAGAUUGGAUAUUUCGAAGCCCAGUCGGGUCCUAGCUUGUGUGGUUUCUUGGUCUUCCUUGUUUGAUCGUAUCAGAGAGCGUCAUUAUGAUGACCCUUAUUUGCUUGUCCUCAAGGACAAGGUUUUGCAGGGUGAUGCCAGAGAUGUGACCAUUGGUUAUGACGGGGUAUUGAGAAUGCAGGGUCGGAUAUGUAUACCCAAUAUUGAUGGGCUUCAGGAGUUGAUUCUAGAGGAGGCCUACAAUUUGCAGUAUUCCAUCCAUCCGGGUACCGCAAAGAUCUAUCAGGAUUUGAGGCAGCACUAUUGGUGGUUUUUCUAUUGCAGACAAUUGUUCUUCGCGUUCGCGAAUGGGAGAUCGUGUUCGCGAAGGCUGUCCAAUGGAAGCAUCGCAAACGCGAGGAGCUGAGCGCGUUCACGAAGAGGAAAAAUGGGAGCAGCUGGGACUUCAGAAAGUUGCUCUACGCAUUUGUGAGUAAGGGGUCGUGUUCGCCAAGGUCCUGGCAGCUGAAGCUAUGCGUUCGCGAGAGGACCCUCACGUCCGCGAAAGAGGAAUUUGGGCCAGUGGGAUUUUGUUCAUCGCGUUCGCGAUGGUAGUCUCGCAUUCGCAAAGAAGAACGCAUUUGGGCAGAAUUUAAAAUCCAAAAUCGAGGGUUUGAGUUCAUAACUUCAAAAAUUGAUUGAAAGCUCGGUAGAAGGCACAAUUUGGAGAGAUUUUUGAAGGAAGUUUGGGGGUAAUGAUUUCUAACUCCUUUAUGAUUAAAUCCCAUUAAUCUAAACAUAAAUUCAUCAUCUAAUUUCGGAUUUGGGGUGAAAAUUGGGGAAAGUUGAGAAAAGUCCUUAGGCCUAAUUUUGGGAUUUGGUAUCGGAUUCGAGUAAAUUUGGUAUGGUUAGACUCGUGAGUAAAUGGAUGUUCAUAAUGUGUGACUUUUACCCGAUUCUGAGACGUGGGCCCGAGGAGGAUUUUUGGGCAUUUUUCUAUUUUCUUGCCUUCGCUUCGAUUUCGUUAGCUAAAUUAGUUGUUAGUCGUUGUAUUUACGUUAUAAUAUUGAUUUGAUUAGAUUUGGUCCACUCGGAGUUGGAUACUCGUGGCAAGAGCGUGAUUUCUGAUUGAUUUGAGCUCGAUUUGAGGUAAGUGGCUUGCCUAACCUUGUGUGGGGAAACUCCCCUUAGGAUUUUGGUUCUGUUGUUAUAUGAGUGUCGUGUACGUGAGGUGACGAGUGCGUACACGUGCUAAUUAUUGAGAAAAACCCUAUUUUCAUUAAGCAAAUAUCUGUGUUUUCCCUUUUAAUUGAGAAUACUAGUUCAUGUAGUCUCCUGCUUAGCUUAGGAAAACAUGUCUACGUGCCUUAACCAUCUUAUCUGUUUAAACUGUUUUACUUGGACAACGUGCAACAUGUUUAGGAUAGGAAUUACCUGUUUCUUUGAUGCUAAUUUGAUUAGAAUUGUAUACUUCCUGGCCGAGACUGUUGUGCAUAUUGAUAUUACGUAUUUACUUUGGGACUACAGAACGAUAUUCCGGGAGAUCCCCCUUGCCUGUUUACUUUGGGACUAUGGAUCGGUAUUCCCAGAGAUCUCCCUACACAUUUAUAUUUGGGACUACGGGACGUUAUCCUGGGAGAUCCCCCUGUACAUUUACGAUUUGGACUACAAGACGGUAUCCCGUGAGAUCCUUAUUCAUUUAUGUUUGGGACUACAGGACGUUAUCUUGGGAAAUCCCCUGUUGCUAUCUCUGUGUGUUGAGUUAUUUCUUCCUGUGAUUUCAUAUUUAUUGAAUGUUAGCAUCUUUAAUUACUGUCUCAUUUCACAUUAUUUUUCCUUGUUAUAUAUAUAACUAGUAGGUCCCUGACCUGAUCUCGUCACUACUCAGCCGAGGUUAGGCUUGGCACUUACUGGGUACCGUUGUGGUGUACUCAUGCCCUUUCCUACACAUGUUUUUCGUGUGUAGAUCCAGGUUCUUCUGCUCAGCCAUACUAUCCGAGAGGCGAGGCUAUUCAUAGACUUUAAGGUAUAUCUGCCGCGUCCGCAGACCUAGAAAUCCCUCUCUAUUCUCCCUUCAGUCAUAGGCUUUUCCUUGUAUUUCCUUGUUAUUAGACUUCUGGAGUUAGAAACCUUAUGUAUUCUUCUUUAGCUUGUGAUUCAUGAGAUUCCGGGUUUUGGGACUGUAAUUAUUGGUCAAGAGUGCUAUUAUUGUAUAUGACGAGUGGCAUUUUAAACGCUUUAUCUAUAUUUACCUGUUAGAUGGCUAGUUUGUACUUUUAAAAUCCUUUUCCGCAAUUUGUUAGGCUUACCUAGUGGUAGAGACUAGGUGCUUCAAGACAGUUCACGGAGGGAGAACUUGGGUCGUGACAUAUCUAAACAAAAAUCACAUCACAGCUCUAGGGCCCACAUCAAAAUCUCGGUAAUCGAAUCAAAUUAAUAACCAGCUCUCCCAGAGCUCACAUCAACCAGAAAUCCGUCGAUUACUCAUAAUUCGCGUGUAUACUAUCAAGAGAGAAACAUGAGAGGGUGACCCUAGGGGGAUGGAUUCGUAUCCACACGAUGCAUGACCAAUUUAACAUGCUACAUGGACAACUCACGUGCUAAUAAUAUCAACCGCAUAGACGACUCACAUGCCAUAAUAUCAGUAUCUGGAUCCGCAUAGAUAACUCACGUUCUACACGGACAACUCACGUGUCAAUAAUCACAAUCUGCCCAGCGUGGUCAUAAGCUCAAUAUCACAAUCCGUCCAGCAUAGUCAUAGGCAUAACAACACAAUUCACCCGAUGUAAUCAGAGGCAUAACAACACAAUCCGUCCGAUGUGGUCACAUGCAUAACAACACAAUCUAUCCGGCGUGGUCACAAGCAUAACAACACAAUUCACCCGACGUGGUCACAAGCUUACCAACAUAAUCUGCCUAGCAUGGUCACAAGAGUUAGUCCAAAUCAUAUCACACAUAAGCAAAUAUACAAGAACACAUGUAUAUGAUCAAUGAAUAUAAAAAUUUCAUGUUCCUGGACUGAUAUAAGUGAUAUGCUAAAAUAUAUGCAUUUGCAAAGUGUGCUAUCAUAUAUAAAUGAUAUGCUAAAGUAUAUGCAUGUGCAAAGUGUGCUAUCAUAGCUCAAAUCGGUAAUUUCAUCAGGAAAAUUAGCCUCUAUGUAAGCUCAAAAUAUGGAUCAAAUAGUUCACAACAGGGUUACAAAUAUAAAAAAUUAUCGCAGUUUAAAGCUUAAUAAUCAAUUUAAGACAUGUCAUAGCCUAAACAUUACCCCGAGCAUGGAUAACUACUCUGGUGCUUGCAUAUGGGCUCAGUCCCCACAUAUAUGCACACCUAUAACAUGUAGCUAUCACAAAUAACUCAGGAAACUAAUGCCUCAAUCAAGUUUAGGUAAGAUACUUACCUCAAGCAAGCCAAACAAUACUCUAGAAACGCCAUUCCGCAUGAAUCGACUUCCAAACGACUCGAAACUUGCCAAAAACAACUCAAAAAUAUCAAAUAAUGCCAAAGGAAACCAACCCAAACGAUAAAGGUCAAAUCUUUUAUCAAAUACUCAAAGUCAACCCCAGGCCCACACCUCAAAACCCGACAAAACUCAUAAAUUCCGACAAUCUAGACUAUUAUGAGUCAUCCAUACUAAUUUAACUCAAAUCCGACUUUGAAUUGAUGUUCAAAACUCAACUAAUCACUUUAGAAAAGUUUAGACAAAAACCCCCAUGUGGUGAAAAUCCUCUCCAAAAUCUCUCAAAACCAAGCUCCAAAUCUAAUAAAUGAGAUAAAAUGAACAAACACUUUGAAUAAAUAGAAAUUUGCCAGCCUAUGCACAUGUGUGAACAACAGGCCGCUCCUGUGACAAAAUUCCCGCUUCUGCAGAGACCACUAAAAUUCCGACCUCUCGCACCUGCGGACAACUUUUCUCUUCUAUGAUAUCGCAUAUGCAAUGUACCUUCCGCUUCUGCGAAGCACUCUCCUAGCAUGCCUUCCCACUUUUGUGCAACUCUGCCUGCCUCUAUGACAUUAUGCCCUAACUUAACCUUUUGCAUCUGCGCCUCCUCACUUGCAUUUGCGGCUCUGCACUUGCGCCCAAAAAUUUUGCAGGUGCAAUGACACUAGACCCCUGCCAAACCAGUCAUCACCAAUAUGACUCAAAGUGGUGCGAAACCCAUCCGAAACUCACCCGAGCCCUUGGGGACCCUGUCCGAGCAUACCAACAAGUUCCAAAACAUAAUGCAGACCUACUCGAGGCCUCAAAUCAUACAUAACAACAUCAAACUACGAAUCAAAGCUCAAAUCAAACUUGAUGAACUUUUGAACUUUCAACUUCCAAAACUCGUGCCGAACCAUAUCAAAUCAAAUCGGAAUGACCUCAAUUUUUGCAAACAAGUUUCAAAUGACAAAACAAACUCGUUCCAACUUCCGAAACAACAUUCCAAUCCCAAUAUCAUUAAGUCAACUCUCGAUCAAACUUAUGAACUAUCCAAAUCUUCAAAUUAUCAACUUUUGCCAAUUAGCUCCAAAACCUUCUAGAAACAUCCAAAUGCAAUUCGGGCAUAUUGCAAGUGUAAAAUCACUAUCCAGACCUAAUAGAAUCGUUAAAACUCCGAUCCAAGGUCAAAUACAUAAAAGUCAAACUCGGUCAAAUCUUCUAGCUUAAAGUCUUCUAUUUGAGAAUUAUUCUUCCAAAUCAAUCCCAAACCACUCGAAAACUAGAACCGACGAUACCCACAAGUGAUAAUUCACCAUAUGAAGCUAAUCAAGACCUCAAACCAGUGAGCUGAAUGCAAAUGCUCAAAACGACCAAUUAGAUCGUUUUAUUUUUACCAUGUCGAAUUUGUCAAUGCUUGAAGUUUGUGGUACUUGACAUUUUUGAAAAAAAUUACCUAUCAUGGGUUCUUGAUACUAAUAUUUACUUAGACACUAAAGGUCAUGGUGACACUAUUAUUCAAGUUAAUGAAGCAUCAAGCUAGGACAAAAAAAGGCUAUGAUUUUUCUUUGUUAUCAUCAGGAUGAAGAUUUGGAGGUUGAGUAUUUGGCAGUAAAAGAUCCACUUGAAUUGUGGACUGGCCUAAAGGAAUUGUAUGAUCACCUUAAGGUUACAAUAUUUCCAGGGCAAGAUAUAAGCGAAUAUAUUUACGGUUGCAAGAUUUAAGAUAGUACUAAGUAUAACUCUGUUGGUGUAUUUCGAAUAACUUCCUAAUUAAAAUUAUAAAGAGAUGUUAUGAAUGAUGAGGAUUUUUUGAAAAAGACUUUUACAAUUUUUCAUGCCUCAAAUAUGGUAUUAUAACAACAAUACCGUGGAAGGGGUUUUAAAAAGUAUUUUGAAUUGAUCUCAUGCCUUCUGGUGGCAGAACAACAUAACACUCUUUUGAUGAGAAACCUAUCUCACAUAGUCAACUUCAUUCCCCGAAGCAAAUGUGAUAGCGACACAUGAUAAGUCUGAAAAAAGAUAAAAUAAUUAUCGUGGCUAUAUAAAUGUGUAACAACCCGAUCGGCCGUUUUAAAAAUUAAUACCUCGAUCCCCUAUUAACUGCUUUUCCUAUGUUUGUUUAUGCUAUUUUGAUUUGCCGGGAUGUUUGGUUUUGAGUUUCGGAGAGUUUUAGGACACUUAGUCCCUAAAUGAGAGUUUAAGUUUUAGAAAUUGGACCGUAGUCGGAGCAGUGUGAAGACAACCUCAAAAUGGAAUUUUGUUGGUUCCAUUAGCUCCGUUGGAUAAUUUUGGGCUUAGGGGCGUAUUCGGAUUGUGUUUUGGAAGUCCGUAGCUAAUUUAGGCUUUAAAUGCCGAAAGUUGAAUUUUUGAAGUUUCCGGUUCGAUAGUGAGAUUUUGAUAUCGGGGUUGAAAUAGAAUUUCAGAGUUGGAGUAGAUUUGUAGUGUUUAAUUUGACGAGUGUGCAAAAUUUCAGGUCAUUCGGACGAGGUUUGAUAGACCUUUUGAUCGAAAGCGUGGUUUGAGAGUUUUUGAAAUUCUUAGGCUUGAAUCCGAUGUAAAAUUGGUGUUUUGAUAUUGUUUUGGACAUUCUGAAGGUUGGAACAAGUUUGAAUGAUGUUUUAGGAUUGGUUCACAUAUUUGGUUGAGGUCCCGGGGGCCUCGGGUGUGUUUCGGGUGGUUAACGGAGGGUUUUUGACCCUAAAAGAAUUGUUGUUGCUGCUGUAUUUCUUGGUUCUGGUUUCCUUAUAUGCGACCACAAUAGUGGGGCUGUGAUCGCAUAGGUUUGUUGGUGAGGCGGCAAAAUUUGUACUAUGCGAUCACCAAGAUUGGGCCGCGAUCACAAAGUGAGAGGAGUCAAAGCAGUGCGGUCGCAUGAGGUUGUACGCGAACGCAUAGUGUGGACGCGUGUGGCAUGGGGUGAUUGGUUACUCUGUGCGAACACGGUUGGGUGUAUGAGAUUGCGUGGAGGGAGGAGAGCCAGUGCUAUACAAACACGUGUGAUGGAUCGCGAACGCACUGAAAAAUUUUAAUAAAAAGCUGGGCAGUGUUUUAAUAGCCCAAUCUGCGACCCUUCUCCAUUUUUCUACCAUUCUUGAACGAGAUUAAAGCUUUUGAGAGAGAUAUUUGAGGAAACCAAAGGGGAAUCAUUUGGAGGUAAUAUUCUUGACUUCAUAACUCAUUUAUAUUGUCACACCUCCUUUUUACCUACCCCAGAAGGGAUAUAAGGGAGUCUUUUCCAAUUUAAGUGACAAUCGAAACAUGAAUAUUUAAAUUAAAAUCAGAGUCGCCACUUGGAAUAAUUUAUGGUGUCCCAAGUCACCAGUUUUAGAAUCCCAAAUCGAGGAAAGAUUGACUCUGUUUUACAGUCCGCGAAACACAGAAAUCCAGGUAAGGAAUUCUGUUAACCUGGAAGAAGGUGUUAGGCAUUCCCGGGUUCCGUGGUUCUAGCACAGUCGCUGAACUAUUAUUAUUAGAUCAAUUAUCUGAUGUAAUUACACAUUUUAAACCUACGUUCCCUUUUAACUUUUGGUCGCUUUUAAUAUUUCAGGAAAUUUUAAGGUUAUUUAAAACAUAUCGUAAGCCACGCUACAUGAAACGCACCUGCGGUUCACGACGCGCUUUAUUUAACCUUGUUAGAAAUUAGAAUCGGGUCACAUGAAAUGCACCCCGGAUUUUAGUAAUUACAAAUCACAACUACGUCACGAGAACCAUACCCGUAGCCAUGAUAAUUAUUUAAUUAACGUGCCUAAAGCAAACUACGAAAUUUAUUUUAGUAUCUAAGUUAUAAGAUUAAUAAGAGGGCCAUAAAGGAUUUAAUUAGGAUGUCACACCCCAAUACAAUUAAAAGGGCUAUUCCUAAUUAUGCUUAUAGAACUAAUGUGUUAACCCUUUCAAAUAACAAUCACAUUCUUAAUUCUAACUUAACAGGCGCAUUCAAUUAUCUUUUAAACAAAUCUGACUUUUCACAGCAUAUUACAAUACCUCAAACACUCCCCAAAUUCCGAAGUUCUUUAACCAAAUCACUGAAAAGCUCACAACAAAUCACAACACAAUUUUGUGCGAAGCAACUCUCGAUAGAAUUUUCCAUUCUGUAGCAUACUUGACAUGUUAAAAUCAUAAAAAAUUUCUAAACUGAAUGGGCAAAUACUCAUAAAUAGGGCAGUUUUUUAUUCCCGAACUUUAAUUCUUCAACAACACAUAUUGCUCAUAUUUUAAAAUCAAAGAACACCACCAAGGAAUCAUACAAAACCCAUAGUCAAUUCAUGAUUUACUAAUAGCUACAAGGCCAAGCAAAUUGCAGACAACCACAGAGCAAUACAACCCCAAACACUAGCUCAAAUCAUAUUUAGCUCUAAAGUGAAAUAAAAGAGAUUAGAAGUAACCUGAAAUUAGCUUUCCAAUUAAUAUUAUUUUUGGCAGUUACAAAAAGUGACUCGAGCCAAAUUGAAUGAAUCGGCAACGAAGGUUUUCAAACGGAAUCACCAAAGAGAAGAUGGAAGCCUUGACCGGAAACUAUGACGAAUUCACACGGGAACUCAGACUCUAACCUCGAGCAGCAGUCAUGCUACUCGAACUUGAACACCUCGAGCAAUCUCCAUCUUUUGCAACCAAAAUAGAAUUUGAAAAGAAGAGAUGAAACUUAUAUUAUUUUUGUAUUUUUGGAUUUGUGGCAGAGAUGAAACAAGAAGGAUCUGAGUUUGCUUUCAUGUGUUUUUAUGGACUUUAGAUAGAAUGAAAUCCCAAACUAAGGAGGCAAACACAAAACUGAAAAUCUCUGUCCGUUUCCCCCAAAUUUCAGUUCGAUUUUUCUCUGUUUCGUUCUUCUUCGGCUGUUUUCCUAUAUUUCAUGUAUAUGACUGCUCUAAGUUAAAGACAGGAAGGUGAAGAUGGGGUCUGGUUCGUGUCCGUUUGGUCACUGCUGUAGGUUGUGGGUGCGUGUAUAGAGAUAGAGAUGAGGUCUUGGUUGCUUGGGGUGUGGAGGAGAUGAGGAGUUCUAUUGUUUUUGUCAAUGGUGAAAGGAGUGGGUGUUUGGUUGAAGAAGAAAGCAAAACCGAUGGAGGAGGGGGCUCUUCUGUG
rnacentral:lncRNA from 1 species